GGGUGAGGAAUGCAUCGGAAUCUACCCUGUCGUGGGGGAUAACGUAGGGAAACUUACGCUAAUACCGCAUACGACCGAGAGGUGAAAGUGGGGGACCGCAAGGCCUCACGCGAUUGGAUGAGCCGAUGCCGGAUUAGCUAGUUGGUGGGGUAAAGGCCCACCAAGGCGACGAUCCGUAGCUGGUCUGAGAGGAUGAUCAGCCACACUGGGACUGAGACACGGCCCAGACUCCUACGGGAGGCAGCAGUGGGGAAUAUUGGACAAUGGGCGCAAGCCUGAUCCAGCCAUGCCGCGUGUGUGAAGAAGGCCUUCGGGUUGUAAAGCACUUUCGUUCGGGAAGAAAUCGUGCGGAUUAAUACUUCGUACGGAUGACGGUACCGAAAGAAUAAGCACCGGCUAACUUCGUGCCAGCAGCCGCGGUAAUACGAAGGGUGCAAGCGUUACUCGGAAUCACUGGGCGUAAAGCGUGCGUAGGCGGUUCGUUAAGUCUGCUGUGAAAGCCCUGGGCUCAACCUGGGAACUGCAGUGGAU
rnacentral:rRNA from 1 species